rnacentral:rRNA from 1 species
GCCAUCUCAGUUCGGAUUGUAGUCUGNAACCCGACUACAUGAAGCUGGAAUCGCUAGUAAUCGCAGAUCAGAAUGCCGCGGUGAAUACGUUCCCGGGUCUUGUACACACCGCCCGUCACACCAUGGGAGUCGGAAAUGCCCGAAGUCGGUGACCUAACUGAAAGGAAGGAGCCGCCGAAGGCAGGUCUGGUGACUGGGGUGAAGUCGUAACAAGGUAAC